rnacentral:rRNA from 1 species
ACAUCCAGAGAACUUAGCAGAGAUGGCUUUUGGGUGCCUUCGGGAACUCUGAGACAGGUGCUGCAUGGCUGUCGUCAGCUCGUGUUGUGAAAUGUUGGGUUAAGUCCCCGNAACGAGCGCAACCCUUAUCCUUUGUUGCCAGCGGUUCGGCCGGGAACUCAAAGGAGACUGCCGGCGAUAAACCGGAGGAAGGUGGGGAUGACGUCAAGUCAUCAUGGCCCUUACGGCCAGGGCUACACACGUGCUACAAUGGCGCAUACAAAGAGAAGCGACCUCGCGAGAGCAAGCGGACCUCAUAAAGUGCGUCGUAGUCCGGAUUGGAGUCUGCAACUCGACUCCAUGAAGUCGGAAUCGCUAGUAAUCGUAGAUCAGAAUGCUACGGUGAAUACGUUCCCGGGCCUUGUACACACCGCCCGUCACACCAUGGGAGUGGGUUGCAAAAGAAGUAGGUAGCUUAACCUUCGGGAGGGCGCUUACCACUUUGUGAUUCAUGACUGGGGUGAAGUCGUAACAAGGUAAGCGUAGCGAG